UACGGAGGGGGCUAGCGUUAUUCGGAAUUACUGGGCGUAAAGCGCACGUAGGCGGCUUUGUAAGUCAGGGGUGAAAUCCUGGAGCUUAACUCCAGAACUGCCUUUGAUACUGAUGAGCUUGAGUCCGGGAGAGGUGAGUGGAACUGCGAGUGUAGAGGUGAAAUUCGUAGAUAUUCGCAAGAACACCAGUGGCGAAGGCGGCUCACUGGCCCGGUACUGACGCUGAGGUGCGAAAGCGUGGGGAGCAAACAGG
rnacentral:rRNA from 1 species